CUCAGAGGAAGAGGGCGGGCUUUACUUGGUGUCAGUGAGAGAAAUGAAAAAAAGCUGAAAUGAGUGAGAAGGACGAUGAAGGAAACAUCUGUGCUGUGUCUGCUCUGUAAGUAGAAUCUCUGUGUUUGUUUGAAUUCUUGUACUUUGACUGUCUGCUCUCCUGAUAACUGAUGAUGGAGGAGAAGACAUGAAGAACAAAUCAGGCUGAAUUCAAGUUCAAAACACCACGAGGACCAACUGCAGGUCUGAACUGACUCUUUAUCUUUGCUCAGGAGUCGAGGAAACACAGCAGGCAGUGAAAAGCUCAAAUCAUUCACUCAUUAUAUCAACACAGCUGAGAGUUUGAAACAUGGAAUUUAACAUUUUCAUCCAUUUAGUCAACUAUAACUGCCUUUAAAUUUUUAGUGCUGCACAAAGUGACCGUUAGUGUUUGUGGUUGAGCUGUUUGUGGUUUAAACAGAAACUAAAGGAGCUCAAUUUUUCUUUUUCUGGGGGACAGAAGAAAGAAGUUGCAGGCGUUUCCUCACAGGGUUGUUAAUCUUAUAAGGGGAAGUAACAUGUCUGUGACCACAGGCAAUGAAUCUAAAGCAGUUUGAUUAAAAAACAUCUUUUAAACACCAUUAAUAAAUACAUGAAGUUAAUUUAAACCAGUGAUCACUGCUCCUUUUGACGGACUUCACUCAUUUUUAUGAAUGGAUUUGACUUCAGUGACACCGGAUCCCGUCAGAAACAGGAAAAUGAAAUAUCAGAAACUAUCUAAACAUUUACAGGUUGUUUAUUCCUCUUUAAAUAAAACUCCAACCUUCGUAAUGAAAUCACGUUUUCCUUUUUAUUUUAUUAGGAGAAAAAUAUUUCAUUUAUCUUAAAUGUAAUAUUGUAAUUUUACUCAGUUACUGUAACUCAGUACUUUUACUCUGCUUUUCUAGUCUAUUCACUGACAUCUUAAUCCUGUGUUCUCCUGAGCUUGAACCUGAACGUCAGACCAACCAUUGACUGCAGGAGACAUGAGCCUCAGACCAGCUCACCAUCACUAUCUUCAUCAUCAUCAUCAUCAUCAGCCCAGAACACUGUUACAGCGAAGUCUGGACAGGACGUAGUUCUACCAUGUCGAGUAUCACCAGACAAAACCAUCAGAGCUGUGAAGUGGAGCAGAGCUGACCUGGGAGAUGAAUAUGUGCUUUUGUACCGGGAUGAGCAGCUGGAUCCAGAAAACCAGCAUCCAUCUUUUAAGAACCGGGUGGAUCUGCAGGACAGGAAGAUGAAUAAUGGAGACGUGUCUCUGGUUCUGAAGAAUGUGACGACUGCUGAUGAUGGAUCAUACAAUUGUAAUAUUUUCAACGGAGGGACAAGGUCAUGGGAGUGCAUCAACACCGUCAGCCUGACUGUUUCAGGUCAGACAGCAGAACUCACAGUUGCACCUGUUGGACUCAUCGCUGGUCUGAGUGUUCCUGCUGUGGUUCUUGUUGCUGCUGUUAGUUUUGUGUGCUACAGAAAACAUAAACAACAGAACCGGGAUUUUAACUAGCAUCCUCAUGAACAGCAGGUUUCAAAUGUCUCUACGGUUUAGUAUGUGUAAACUAACAAAACACUAAACUUACAAAACAACACUGGUUUAAAAACUAAUUGUUUAAUUUAAUCCUGGAUCACACUACAUGACAUCACUACAGAGUGCAGACAAAUGAUGCAUCGUUUACCCGAAUCGCUAUAAUUCAGAGAAAUCCUGGAAAAAAAAUAUUAGGACAUAAUAAUUGACAAGUUUCACCUGCUCUAUGUGUAACUCAAUGACCUCUAACACCUGAAAUCCUUUAUUGUAUGAAGGUAAAAUAUUGUGUACCUUUAAUAUUCAUCAUCUAUCCAGAUCUAUCACAGUGACAUGGAACGACCCACUGUAUUAUAAAGCCUUUCCAUUUAAUGUAUUAUAAAGGUGGAGGUGUUGCUCUUCCAUCGCUGUCACUGGCAGAUCUGAGUGAAUACUGACCUUAAAAGUGAAGGUGAACCCUGUUUGAAUGACAGCAUGUUGUUUACCAGUUCAUUAAUAUUAGUGAAUGACUCUGGGGCAGGGAUGUCAAACUGGUUUUACAUCAUGGGCCACAUUAAACUCCCCACGAUGUAAAGUAGUUUAAGUGCACGUUCAAUCUGACAUAUCUCUGUGUAAGAAGGAGAACUGCAACUUUAUCAGCACCUCUGAGUUUUCUCUAAUAUAUUUCUGUACUUGAUGGUGAAAAAACAGGAACUUUCUGUAACUUAACAGCCUGUUUAUUGUUUAUUUACUUUGGUGUCGUAUGAAUCACCUUUGACGAGGUCGUCAGCUGAAAAGCAGCAAAGCUGCAUUUUCCAAAGCCACCCAGUGGGGAUAUUAGAACAUGUUUCUUCCCCAAUAGCAGCUAAGUUUAUUAUUUAUUCAUUAUCAUAGAAACAUUAUAGCAGGUUAUGAUAUGGAUGUGUUACUCAGAGAAUUGAAUUUGUAACCUCUGACCUUUGUGAAGCUUUUCAGCUUAAAAUGCCAGAACGACCAGACACUAAAGACAAACCCACUGCGUAAAGGAAACUUUACUACACUAUGUAAGGAGCAGAAGACACUAAAAUACUAAAUUAAAACUAAAACAUUUUUAUGCUAUACCAUUAAAAACUGACGUUGCACAUGUCAGCUGAUCGUUUUAUAAUUUUUAGUUUGUCAUAGAGACAAAAAGUGAGGGAGCAUUUAGAGCAGAACAUCCUAACAGGAAGUUCAACUCUGUGGUUUUACAGUUACGCUGUGUUCAACUGUGAAUAGUUCAAAGCAAAGGAGGAGUGAUGUCAGUGUAGCUUAGAGGAAGUCUGAAAUAGUCGACAGCCAGGAUCACAAACACUACACAGUUUCUGAUUCCAUCCUUUUCCUGUAAGUAACUAGUUAAUGUAACUCUUCUUUCUAGGUAACAAUUUGAUGUCAAACGUGACUCGUGUGAGCAAAGUAAAGGCUUUUCAAACUAUUUUCUAUCCGUCCGUCCAUCUAGUGGCUCUAAGUGCUCACUGCAGUUGUUCGUAACUUCAAACAUUAAAAAAUGCAUUUAUUACACAUCACUACACUAACAGACUAACUAACCGCUUGAAGAGAUGAGUGGUGAUCCUCUCAGCAGACUGAGGGACGAACACAUUAAACCAGGUCAAAUAUCCACGUUCAUGUUUAAAUACUGCAGAACUUUGGUGCAAACAGCAGUAACAUCAGUGAUGAUGGUGAUACGACAGGGAGUAAACAAACCACUAAAUGGGACUAAAUGGGACCAGUGAGGAAGUGUCAGUACAAUAAAAAGAUGCACAAAAGAAAUGAUGGAGUAAAAAAACUGUUUUAAAAGGAAAACACAAGAAGUCUGAUGUGUUUUGUUCUUUCAGGUCAGGAGAUCAUACACGUGGAUAGAUUUUUUUUAAUCUAAACAUAUUUACUUUGUACACAGGAACAUGUGAGAUAUGAAAAAUGUUCAAAGUAAAUAGUUUUGACUCAUAUUUGUUGAUUGAUUUAUGACUGGCUGCUGCAGUCUGGAGCAUGAAUGUGAUUUUUGUUUAUAUGUAUGAUAAACUGGAAUGUUCACUUGUUAAUGCUUUUCUGCAAUGUGCUGCACUACAGAAAUAAAAGUAAUAUUUGAAAAUC
ensembl:lncRNA